AACGAACGCUGGCGGCAUGCCUAACACAUGCAAGUCGAACGAGUACCUUCGGCUGCUAGUGGCGCACGGGUGAGUAACGCGUGGGAACCUGCCUUUCGGUACGGGAUAACGUCGGGAAACUGACGCUAAUACCGUAUAUGUCUUUGGAUGAAAGAUUUAUCGCCGGAAGAGGGGCCCGCGUCUGAUUAGGUAGUUGGUGAGGUAACGGCUCACCAAGCCUUCGAUCAGUAGCUGGUCUGAGAGGAUGAUCAGCCACACUGGGACUGAGACACGGCCCAGACUCCUACGGGAGGCAGCAGUGGGGAAUAUUGGACAAUGGGCGCAAGCCUGAUCCAGCAAUGCCGCGUGAGUGAUGAAGGCCUUCGGGUUGUAAAGCUCUUUUGCCUGCGACGAUGAUGACGGUAGCAGGAGAAUAAGCCCCGGCUAACUUCGUGCCAGCAGCCGCGGUAA
rnacentral:rRNA from 1 species